CCCAUGGGAAGCCCUGGGGGACAGGCUCUACAGAGGACUUGUCACUUUCAAGAAGAAAAGAAAAAGGUUUGCCUGAUGAGUAAGGCAAGUAAGGCGGGCAAACAAUUCAGGCAGAGGGGCCAAUAUAUACAAAGUGGGGAAAGAAAGAAACGGAUCUAGUCUAAGCGACUGCUCAUCUGCUCAUAGCUCAGUCCAGCAUCAGUAGAGGUGUCAGCUUUAAAGGACGGACGAUGGUCAUGCCCAACAAGGACAUAUAACCAGGGACUGAUGAAGCCAAACCCCUUGGAGACAUUUGAGUAAGAACUGGGUUGUUUUAUUGCUUUGUUUUAAUUAAUUUGAAAAUCAUCGAUACUGUGCAAAUGGCAACUGACUCAUCAAAGAUCAAAAAUGGAGUCAGGAUCAUGAUAUGACUGGAAACCAGAUUGACUGAGAAACUGAGGUGGGAAUAGUUUGAAGAGAAGGAAACUUGAUGAACUGACUUCCAUGGCUAUGCUCCCAAAGGGCUUAUGUCCAUGUUCAGAAGAAAAUGAAAUGUGCUUUAUUUCUGGUAACUGUGGUUAAGAUCAGUCAGUAGAGGUUCAAGGGAAGCAGGUGUCAUUUACAAACAGAACUUCCUAGCAGUCAGAACUACUCUACUCUAGAAAGAUGGAAAGGCCUAUGUUAAGGGAGUUCCAGAUUAGGCUGCUAUGGUGGUUUGAAUGAGAAUGACCUGAGUAUUUGCUUAAAGACUGAAGCUAAAGUUGAAAUCAAAAAUGUCUAACUCUAUAGGUGGUUGCUUCAGAAUUCCAAAGCAGUUUUCACUCACACAUACUAAUAUAGACUCUACAGGACAUACUAUAAAAACUGGUGUAGGUCUUCCUUCUCUCUAGGGUUGUUGGCAACAGGCCCAUGAGAACAAAGGGAGCAGAGAGACUAACAGAGUUUCAGACAAGCCCUGUGAGUAUGAACGGUAAUAAUGACAAACCAGAACCAGCUUCAGGAAGACAGAUCAACUUCACUUGGAAUGAUCCAAGGGUUAUGUAUUCAGGGUUAAGGAAGAAGAAAUGUCGAGGGUGGGCAAAGGUCAUUGGCUAAAGACUAGGGUACGGGGUACCUCACUAGCAUGGGGAAGGCACUUUAGGCAUCUCAGGGGCUUGCUCUUCAGCUUCUCAUCUGCGG
ensembl:lncRNA LOC108351004 uncharacterized LOC108351004